CCUACGGGGGGCAGCAGUGAGGAAUAUUGGUCAAUGGACGAGAGUCUGAACCAGCCAAGCAGCGUGAAGGAUGACUGCCUUAUGGGUUGUAAAUUUCUUUUUUAUGGGAAUAAAUUGUUCCACGUGUGGGAUUUUGUAUGUACCAUAUGAAUACGGAUCGGCUAACUCCGUGCCAGCAGCCGCGGUAAUACGGAGGAUCCGAGCGUUAUCCGGGUUUAUUGGGUUUAAAGGGAGCGUAGGUGGAUUGUUAAGUCAGUUGUGAAAGUUUGCGGCUCAACCGUAAAAUUGCAGUUGAUACUGGCAGUCUGGAGUACAGUAGAGGUGGGCGGAAUUCGUGGUGUAGCGGUGAAAUGCUUAGAUAUCACGAAGAACACCGAUUGCGAAGGCAGCUCACUGGACUGAAACUGACACUGAGGCUCGAAAGUGUGGGUAUCAAACAGGAUUAGAUACCCGGGUAGUC
rnacentral:rRNA from 1 species